CCCAUCAUUUCUUUAUCCAGUCUACUGUUGAUGGGCAUUUGGGUUGAUUCCAGGUCUUAGCUAUUGUGAAUUGAGCUGCAAUAACCAUUGAAGUGCAGACAGCUUUUUUGUUUGUCAAUUUAAUUUCCUUUGGGUAAAUUCCAAGGAGUGGGAUGGCUGCGUUGUAUGGUAGGGUUAUAUUCAGGUUUCUGAGGAAUCUCCAAACUGACUUCCAUAGUGGCUUUAUCAGUUUGCAUUCCCACCAACAGUGGGUCAGUGUCCCUUUUUCCAGUGGGGUGGGUAUUGUGGUAUGAUAGGUUAAGCUGCUGCUUGAGAUGCCCACAUCCCAUAUUGGAGUGCUGGCUCGAGUCCUGGAUUCUGUGUUGCUGAUCCAGCAUCCUGCUAAUGUGCCUGGAAAGGCAGAAGGUGUCCCAAGUAGUUUGGUUCUUGCCACCCACAAAAAAGACCUGGGUAGAGUUCCUAGCUCCUGGCUUCAGUCUGGACCAGUCCAAGCUGUUAUGGCCGUUUGUGGAAUGAACCAGUGGAUGGAAGAUCUCUGCGUGUGUGUGUCACUCUACCUUUCAGAUGAGUCAAUUCACAGAGCUUUAAGGGUGCUGGAAGCAGCUUUCUCAGCUGCUUCAUAGUGGGGCUCAUCAUAAGCCCGAAGAGAUCGGCUGAUGGACCAGCAGGUAGAACUAAGGUAACUGAGACCUUAGUGGGAGAAUUCUGCUGGGUGAGCUUCAGAGACUGUUUCAGAGAGAUGACGUUACUCAUGCCUGCUGUGGGGUGAUUGAGACACACUACUCCCCCUGAAGCCUACAGUUAAGAUCUGGGACGACUGAAAAGCUGGAAAAAGGUAUGUGGGCUCAUUUUGGACUGUGUUUUUCCCUUUGAAAAAAUAGAAGAUGAGCCCAAGUGUACUUAAGGCAAGGUUAGCAAAGAUUUUUCUUUUUAAAAUCGGGUUCAAUGUUGGGGCCGGCACUGUGGUGCAGCAGGUUAGGCUGCUGCUUCCAACGCCAGCAUCCCAUAUCAGAGUGCUGUUCCCAGCUUCUCUUCUUCCACCCAGCUCCCGCUAAUGUGCCUAGGAAAGCAGGAGAAGAUGUCCAACUACUCGGGCCCCUGCCACCCAUGUGGGAGACCUGCAUGGAGUUUUAGGCUCCUGGCUUCAGCAUGGCCCAGCCCUGGCCUCUGCAACCAUUUGGGGAGAGAAUGACAGAUGGAAGAUCUCUUUUUCUCUUUGUCUCUACCUCCCCCACCCCCAUUACUCUGCCUUUCAAAUAAAUGUCUUUAAAAAAAGUUGAGUCCAAUGUCUGCUCUUGCUGCCACAUUUCUGAGUAGUCGUAAUAGGUAGUAGCAAUUUGGUAUAUAGAUAAAUUAGAACCUGAAGAAAAUGAUAGCUUAGAUCACAAACAUGCCAGCCGAGUCGCGCUUGUGUGUGUGUUUUUGUAUGAGAUAUGGUCAACUUACUUGUAGGAAUUGAUUUCUUUUAUUUUUCUUUUUGCCUUUUAAAGUGUAUUUCUACUAUCAAAAAAAGCAAUUAACAAAAAAGAAAAAAGAGAGGAGGACAAAGAAAGAAAAAAACCCAGGAAGAAUCAGCAUUUAUAUUUAGUGAUCUGAAGUUUGAGCUCUGACGUGGCCCAGAGCAGUGAUCUCUUACUGGAUCAAUCCUCUUACAGAUAAAAUAAUAAUUUGGGAGCAAAAUAAAAAAGAAAUUCUUGCCUCACUGUAGAGUGAGGAAAAUCAAGCAAAUUUUGCAGGGAAGCUGAUUUUUGUAUGAAUAGGACUACAAGGUAUUUGUACCAGCUUUAGAGUUGGCACCAUUUUUGCACCAAAAUAAGCUUAUAUCUUAAUUUCAUCUUGCACAGAUUUUUUUUGAAGUACCCUCAUAUACUGGCUAUUGUUAUAAUGAUGAUGAAAUAAGUGGAGAAUAUGAACAUGCAGAUCUUUGAACAUUUCAUUCUCUGUCUCUCCUCUUGUUCUUUAAUGCUAGAGAAUGCAAUGGAGCUGGGGGAUUUACAAAGACUCUGCUGAUUAAUCCAUCAUAUUCUGACAACUGAAUUCCCAGAAACCGAGUAUUAGACUUUCGCACAAAGUGACGUUUUGACUGGAAUCUUUCAAGUCUAAACAUAUGAACGGUUGGGAGGAGGACUGCCCCAUGGUGGGUCCUCAAAGAAGAGUUGCUACAGGUAUUGUUAUUAAUUGCUUUCAUAAGAAAGCAAAGAUUUUUGUAGUCUGAUCUGCCAAUUCCAGCAUCUCAAUAUUGCAACAGCUUUGUCAGAGGCUAUUUUGUAAGAGGUAAAGACAGUAGGUAGUUGGGAAGACCUUUACAUGCAAUUUUACAUACAGUAGGAAAGUAUACAACGUUAAGUGGCUUAAAAAAAUCAAAAGAGUGAGAUUUUAGACCAUCACCUACUCAGUGAUGAACUUGUCUUAUUUUAGGACAUGGAGAUUAGAAAUAAAGCCAGGCUCAACUUCCUUGAAACAAAAAUGUGCAUUUCUUUUUAAAAGUUGCCCAGGCACAAUGCUGGAGGCAGUGACUUUUGAUAAAAUUAUGUUGUGGACAGAGUAGCUGGAGAAAAUGCUCUUAAGUAUUCAACGUGGGACAAAAACCUUCCUGGCACUAAGAAGUCUCAAUUGGCUUUUCAGCUGCACUGUGGUUUAUUGUGUGCUUUAAAUCAGCUCUAAGACUACACUACACACCACUGUGUCUGUUAGAAAAUCAUUAUGGUGCAAUUAAAAGCAAUGUUGUUUCACAGAGGAACAUGGAGUUCUCCUCUGUGUCUGACUGCUGUGCACUUCCUUUGGGCCUCUUGUGAUUAUCUACACUUGCGAUGGUCAAGAGCUACAGCUGUCGGGAAAACACUCAACAGAUGGCAGUUGUGGGGUGUUGCGUUAUCCUUUUUGGGAUGCUCUCUGACACCCGAGCUCGAGACUUCCAUCAAUGCUGGUGUGCAACUGACUCCUUCCAAGAGCACAGAUCUGGAAUGUUCAGCGACAAGAUUAAUCUUCCUCCAGAAAUGAAGAGAAAUUGAAGCUUCCUCAGAAAUGAAGUGUGCAGCAAAGUGCUAAGGCGUAUUUCGCUCUGGCAUUCUUUUAUUUGUAUGUAGAUAAGCAUGACUAAAUAUCCAGAAAGUCCGAACCACUGGUAGAUAGAACACUUUUCCCUCAGAAUAAGGGUGAGGCAAGAUUGAUCAGUUCUUUUAUUUUUGUAAAGUUCAUUUGUUAAAGAGUGGCUUUUUGUUUUUCAAAAAGAGCAAUUGAACCUUGGCCUUGGUAAUGACAGGACUUGGUGAAUGACAUACACUGUUAGCCUAAGUGGUUUAAGAAUUAAUUAAGUGGUUUCAUUUUACAUUUCAGAUAGCAUUUUUAACAUAAAUACUUAAGCCUCUAUCUUCAUUAUUUAUAUGGUACAUAUAUAUGUAUAACAUUAUGAGGGUAAGAAGAGGAAAUUGACAAAGCCGCUGAACAAUAUGCAUAAUUGUGUUAGAUUCUGGCCUGUCUGGAUGCAUAUAUUUUUAAUACAGUGGUAGACAGUAUUGGAUAGUAGGUGUUUGUCCUGUUUGUGUGCUCUGGAAAGGGCCUGGUCAUGGUCGUCUGCCCACUGAGGCCACCUUCCAGUGCUGUGAAAUGAUAUGUGGUUGUCUGGAGCUUGACCUGAACAUGAAGGUAGCCCUAUAAAAUCUUACAAGCAGGUAGCAUGGGGACAAAUGUGUUCCAUAGGGUUAAAAUUUAAGUUUUUUUUUUUUAACUUUUAUUUAAUGAAUAUAAAUUUCCAAAGUACGGCUUAUGGAUUACAAUGGCUUCCCCCCCAU